GCGAAAACACGAUCGCACAAUCUCAGUGACCGUUGACAGUGGGAAGGAAAAGUUUCCAAUAUUUUGCAUCGUUUUUGUUUAUCGAAGGAAAUUUUGUGCUAUUUUCAACGUUUUGCUGGCAAUUUGGGUGGAAUUACGCUUGGUUGAACCAUCUAGAAAGUGACGGGGAAGAUGACCUGCUGAAGAAUGGACAAGCUGCGGGUGAAAAUGUUGAUCAAUGACAUCGAAAACAAAGACGAGCUCUUCAACGUCAUUGUCGGUGAAUUGCGUUGCCAUGGGAUCAAGUAUCGGAAGGAAAAGCGGUCCAAACCCGGUCAGGACAAGGGUCGCUGCAAGCGGAUUUUCAAUGUCCCGUUGCAUACGUUGGAACUGACGGAUGUGAUUAUGGCAAACGGGGGCAUAGCGCAGGUUCCACUGUUUGUGUCGGAUGCUUGCCAGCGGAUUCUGGAGCAGGUGAACACAGAGGGACUGUUUCGGAAAGCUGGUUCGUCGAAGCGGCAGCAGGAGAUUAAGGCCAGCCUCGAGUCUGGGCAUCCGCUGGGAAAAUCGCAUCACGUCAUCGAUGUGGCAAAUAUACUGAAAACGUUCUUUCGUGACUUACCGGAAGCUCUACUACCACCGGGAAACAUUCAGGAAGCGCUCAUCCGAUGCCUGAUAUCGGGCGAGCAUAAAGUGUACGAUCUCUUGAUCACCUGCUUGCUGCUUCCUCCC